UUUUGGUUUUGUAAAACAUUAUUUGAUCCUCAUUAAUUAACUAAGUAAUUACAAAAACCAAUCAUUUAAUAGCAAACCACCUGUUAGCGCGGAUCGAACUCCGCGGUGAGUUCGCUGGGGGUGCAGGGGGACAACGUGCCCCGAGCUAAAUCUUAGUUCACAUUAAACAGCCUAAAAUAAUGAGGUUUCGAGUGAGAUCUCGAGUCAAGUUAUGAGGUCUCGAGUGAGAUCUCGAGUCAAGUCUCAACUCAGCUUAUAACAUUAUGAGGUCUCGACUCAUUAAUGGUCUCGAGUCGCAACCUCAGUGUCUCGAGUCGUAAUCAUGGUCUCGACUAUUGUGUUUUAUGAGAUCUCGAGUGCUUGAUGAGAUCUCGAGUCGCAACCAUGGUCUCGAGUGAUUAAGGUUGAAGCCCUUGGUCGAAACCUCAGUGGUCUCGAGUCGAGACCCUGUGGUCUCGAGUCGAAAUCGUUGUCUCGAGUUGUGAAGAUUUGAGAACACUUAUGAUUUCGAGUAGAGUCCUUAUGGUCUCGAGUAGAGACCUUAUGGUCUCGAGUCUGUGA
rnacentral:lncRNA from 1 species